AUUGGGGCCAUGCGGCAGCCUACCAUGCAAGUCGAGCGGUAACAGAUCCAGCUUGCUGGAUGCUGACGAGCGGCGGACGGGUGAGUAAUGCAUAGGAAUCUGCCCGAUAGUGGGGGAUAACCUGGGGAAACCCAGGCUAAUACCGCAUACGUCCUACGGGAGAAAGGGGGCUUCGGCUCCCGCUAUCGGAUGAGCCUAUGUCGGAUUAGCUAGUUGGUGAGGUAACGGCUCACCAAGGCCACGAUCCGUAGCUGGUCUGAGAGGAUGAUCAGCCACAUCGGGACUGAGACACGGCCCGAACUCCUACGGGAGGCAGCAGUGGGGAAUAUUGGACAAUGGGGGGAACCCUGAUCCAGCCAUGCCGCGUGUGUGAAGAAGGCCCUCGGGUUGUAAAGCACUUUCAGCGAGGAAGAACGCCUAGCGGUUAAUACCCGCUAGGAAAGACAUCACUCGCAGAAGAAGCACCGGCUAACUCCGUGCCAGCAGCCGCGGUAAUACGGAGGGUGCAAGCGUUAAUCGGAAUUACUGGGCGUAAAGCGCGCGUAGGUGGCUUGAUAAGCCGGUUGUGAAAGCCCCGGGCUCAACCUGGGAACGGCAUCCGGAACUGUCAAGCUAGAGUGCAGGAGAGGAAGGUAGAAUUCCCGGUGUAGCGGUGAAAUGCGUAGAGAUCGGGAGGAAUACCAGUGGCGAAGGCGGCCUUCUGGACUGACACUGACACUGAGGUGCGAAAGCGUGGGUAGCAAACAGGAUUAGAUACCCUGGUAGUCA
rnacentral:rRNA from 1 species